UACGUAGGGCGCAAGCGUUGUCCGGAAUCAUUUGGGCGUAAAGCGCACGUAGGCGGCCUAGUAAGUCGGGUGUGAAAGCCCUGGGCUCAACCCAGGAAGUGCACUCGAAACUGCCAGGCUUGAAUAUGGAAGAGGGUCGCGGAAUUCCCAGUGUAGCGGUGAAAUGCGUAGAUAUUGGGAGGAACACCAGUGGCGAAGGCGGUCCCCUGGGCCGGAACUGACGGCUGAGGCGCGAAAGCGUGGGUAGCAAACGGG
rnacentral:rRNA from 1 species